rnacentral:rRNA from 1 species
CCUACGGGAGGCUGCAGUGGGGAAUAUUGCACAAUGGGGGGAACCCUGAUGCAGCGACGCCGCGUGGGUGAAGGAGCACCUCGGUGCGUAAAGCCCUAUCGGCAGGGAAGAAAAGCGAACAGGUUCGCCUGGACGGUACCUGACUAAGAAGCCCCGGCUAACUACGUGCCAGCAGCCGCGGUAAUACGUAGGGGACAGGCGUUAUCCGGAUUCACUGGGUGUAAAGGGGGCGUAGACGGCGGCGCAAGUCUGGAGUGGAAGCCCGGGGCCCCACCCCGGCACUGCCCUGGAAACGGCGGCGCUGGAGUACGGGAGGGGCAGGCGGAAUGCCUGGUGUAGCGGUGAAAUGCGUAGAUAUCAGGAGGAACACCGGCGGCGAAGGCGGCCUGCUGGACCGUGACUGACGUUGAGGCUCGAGAGCGUGGGGAGCAAACAGGAUUAGAUACCCUGGUAGUC